rnacentral:lncRNA from 1 species
AGCAAUAAACCAGGAAUGAGGGGAGCCCUGGUGACAAAGAGGACACUGGAUUCUCUCUGUGGUCAAGGAGAGAUGGCAGUGAGAGGGGUAAAUUCACUCAGUUACCCAACUUCCUCUUAGGAGAGUGGCAAGGGUGACAAGCCUCACCUGGCUGAGAGUGAGGUUUGUUUGGGCCCCAUUGUCAUAGCAACAAGGGAAUGUUUGGUAACAGAGCCAGUGACUUCACAGAAGCUGGUCUUAAUUCCACAUUUCUGAAGCUCAGGGAAGAGCAGAGCCAGCCAGGAGAGAAUGUGGAGGCAGAGGAAGACAAUAGUUCCCUUGGAAGAGCUGUGACUACUAGAAAAGUACUGUCCUGUAUCCUGGAGGGACACCAGAUGGAACCAAAAGACCAUGUUAUUUAAGUCAAUCAAUCAAAAACUAAAACCUUAAUUUACAAUGAAAAAAGUUUUUAAAAAAAAUAAACAAUCUAAAUGACUACUUUCCUGAGCCUGU